AGGCAGGGAGCAGCCGUGGUUCAUCCUCAAUCCUCUUGGCUCUUGUCAACCAGAGCAAAAGGGGUCCCAACAGCUCAUUGCCUUUCUUGACUCUGGAUACUGCUGCUGGGAUUAAAGGCAUAGAGGAAGUCAUGAUAUAGUCUUCUGGGAAAAUAACUGGAACCUCCAGAUAAGCAGGCAAAUGCACAAUGGAUGGGAAUAGCUGCCUGAAAGGGAUGGAAGGGCAUGGACAAUAUGACUAACAAUUUGGGACUGACUGGAGCCUGUCAAGAUGAAGCUACUCAUCCUUGGAUUAUUUAUGACGAUUGCUACCACACUUUGCUUUACUCAGGACUGAUGGAUAAACAGAGCCAUGGAAGAUUAUUUCAAUAUAUGGUUACUGUGGUGAGAUUACUAUAUGCACAAAGAUGGAAAGAUUCAGCAUUACCCACCAUGGAGGGAUGGUUGGUGAAAUUGACAGGACUUGCUGAGAUAGCCAAACUGACUUCUUUGAUUAGAGAAAAGUCAUUAUUGACAUUCCUCAAUGACUGGAAACCCCUUAUAGAAUUUUUGCAUAAAAAAGAAAAUGAUUUUCUGACUUACGGUUUUGAUAAUUAGAAAGAAUAAGUUAUAGAAAUAAGGGAAUUAUGAUGAAAUCUUAGAGAGUUUUGAUUAGAAUUGUAUGUAUAACUGCUGAGAGGAAGAUUGAAAACCAUUUAU